rnacentral:lncRNA from 1 species
UUUUAUUUCCUCGUUGUAACGACAAAAUGUGUUUUAUUAGUUGAUUUUAUGUGUUACAGCGUUCAACACACACAAUGCAAAAGGGCAUUUGAUGUAAAAAAAUUUAAAAAAAUGAAAAAUAAGUAAUUGAAACUGAAAAUCAGAAAGUAUUAAAUCACUCAGCAUUAGUAGUCGGCCUGGAACACACCCGUAAUCUGACAGGACUACGACACAGGCUUGGUAGUCGGCCUGGAACACACCCGUAAUCUGACAGGACUACGACACAGGCUUGGUAGUCGGCCUGGAACACACCCGUAAUCUGACAGGACUACGACACAGGCUUGGUAGUCGGCCUGGAACACACCCGUAAUCUGACAGGACUACGACACAGGCUUGGUAGUCGGCCUGGAACACAUGUCAAAAAUGUUAUAAAAUGAUUUGCAUUUUAAUGAGGGAAAUAAGUAUUUGACCCCCUCUCAAUCAGAAAGAAUUCUGGCUCCCAGGUGUCUUUUAUACAGGUAACGAGCUGAGAUUAGGAGCACACUCUUAAAGGGAGAAUGUGUGUGUGUGUGAGUUCUAGAACGCGUGUGAGAGUUCUAGAAUGCGUGUGUGUGAGUUCUAGAAUGUGCGUGUGUGAGUUCUAGAAUGCGUGUGAGAGUUCUAGAAUGCGUGUGUGAGUUCUAGAAUGCGCGUGUGUGAGUUCUAGAAUGUGCGUGUGUGAGUUCUAGAAUGCGUGUGUGAGUUCUAGAAUGCGUGUGAGAGGUCUAGAAUGCGUGUGUGAGUUCUAGAAUGCGUGUGAGAGGUCUAGAAUGCGUGUGUGAGUUCUAGAAUGCGUGUGAGAGGUCUAGAAUGCGUGUGAGAGGUCUAGAAUGCGUGUGUGAGUUCUAGAAUGCGUGUGAGAGUUCUAGAAUGCGUGUGAGAGGUCUAGAAUGCGUGUGUGAGUUCUAGAAUGCGUGUGUGAGUUCUAGAAUGCGUGUGAGUUCUAGAAUGCGUGUGAGAGGUCUAGAAUGCGUGUGUGAGUUCUAGAAUGCGUGUGAGAGGUCUAGAAUGCGUGUGGAGUUCUAGAAUGCGUGUGUGAGUUCUGGAAGAAGAAUGU